rnacentral:rRNA from 1 species
UACGUAGGGUGCAAGCGUUAAUCGGAAUUACUGGGCGUAAAGCGUGCGCAGGCGGUUUUGUAAGCCAGAUGUGAAAUCCCCGGGCUUAACCUGGGAAUGGCAUUUGGGACUGCAAGGCUGGAGUACGGCAGAGGAGACUGGAAUUCCUGGUGUAGCAGUGAAAUGCGUAGAGAUCAGGAGGAAUACCGAUGGCGAAGGCAGGUCUCUGGGCCGUAACUGACGCUGAGGAGCGAAAGCAUGGGGAGCGAACAGGA